UGCUCCCUGGCAAUGGACAAACAGACAUCUUGUUGGUGGUGUUUUUCUAUUAGUCAGGGUCAGAGCAGUUGGCAGUUUUUUGUUCAUCCUAGUUUGAUGCCCGUCUUGGUGGUCAAACUUGUUUUAUGCCUAGGACUCAUAA